UGAAAAAUUGCCCGUGACCCCUGGGUGCAGAGGUCAACAAAGGCGAGAGUUUUGCCUUAACCAGAUCCUGUGAAAUCGGAGCAGCUGGGACUUCACCAGCCCAGCAAAGGCUAUCGAUGUCCAGUGUGAACAACAUGGCGUCCUGUGGAAUGUGAAGUGUCCUGAUUGUUUCCACAAAGUGUCAGAGACUAUAGGUCGGCCUGGAGGGAUUUCAUGCGGCCUGCUCCACUUUGUGGGAUCCUUGUGGAUUUUCG